UACGUAGGGGGCGAGCGUUGUCCGGAGUUACUGGGCGUAAAGCGCACGCAGGCGGUCUGGUAAGUUUGGAGUGACAGUGCCCGGCUCAACUGGGCAAGGCCUCUGAAGACUGCUGGACUUGAGAACCAGAGAGGGACAUAGAAUUCCGGGUGGAGUGGUGAAAUGCGUAGAUAUCCGGAGGAAUACCAAAGGCGAAGGCAGUGUCCUGGCUGGUUUCUGACGCUCAGGUGCGAAAGCUAGGGGAGCGAACAGGAUUAGAUACCCUGGUAGUCCUAGCCGUAAACGAUGACCACUAGGUGUGCGGAGUAUCGACCCUCUGCGUGCCGGAGCAAACGCACUAAGUGGUCCGCCUGGGGAGUACGGUCGCAAGAUUAAA
rnacentral:rRNA from 1 species